CUCGUAGGCGGUUCGUCGCGUCCGGUGUGAAAGUCCAUCGCUUAACGGUGGAUCCGCGCCGGGUACGGGCAGGCUAGAAUGCGGUAGGGGAGACUGGAAUUCCCGGUGUAACGGUGGAAUGUGUAGAUAUCGGGAAGAACACCAAUGGCGAAGGCAGGUCUCUGGGCCGUUAUUGACGCUGAGGAGCGAAAGCGUGGGGAGCGAACA
rnacentral:rRNA from 1 species